CGACGCGUUGUGAUGACGUCACGCCGGGGAGUAAACUGUGGCCCCCUAACGACUUGGAGGACUAGGCUGUGAGAUCAUUUUCUGGGAUUGGGUAUUUUCCCAGGCUGCAACCAAAGAUCAGAGUGUAAAGCUCUCUGCUCCAGGGCCAUUCUGGCCAGUGUGCUGUGCUUUCUCUGUGAUGACAAUGGACUGACUCUGUGGAAUGAAAACGCAAGGCAUUCCAUUCCACUUCCCUGCUUAUAAGUGGGAAGGGACUCUGCAGUAAGACAAGACCAUCCAUACCAUGUUACCCAGAAGCAGUCUGACUCCUGUUGAAGAAUCUGACUGUACUGGCUUUCUCUUCCAAGUUGCUGUUAAUAGA